AGAGUUUGAUCAUGGCUCAGGAUGAACGCUAGCGGCAGGCUUAACACAUGCAAGUCGAGGGGUAUAGUUCUUCGGAACUAGAGACCGGCGCACGGGUGCGUAACGCGUAUGCAAUCUACCUUUUACAGAGGGAUAGCCCAGAGAAAUUUGGAUUAAUACCUCAUAGCAUAGCAACUUCGCAUGAAGUCACUAUUAAAGUCACAACGGUAAAAGAUGAGCAUGCGUCCCAUUAGCUAGUUGGUAAGGUAACGGCUUACCAAGGCUACGAUGGGUAGGGGUCCUGAGAGGGAGAUCCCCCACACUGGUACUGAGACACGGACCAGACUCCUACGGGAGGCAGCAGUGAGGAAUAUUGGACAAUGGGCGCAAGCCUGAUCCAGCCAUGCCGCGUGCAGGAUGACGGUCCUAUGGAUUGUAAACUGCUUUUAUACGAGAAGAAACACUGCUUCGUGAAGCAGCUUGACGGUAUCGUAAGAAUAAGGAUCGGCUAACUCCGUGCCAGCAGCCGCGGUAAUACGGAGGAUCCAAGCGUUAUCCGGAAUCAUUGGGUUUAAAGGGUCCGUAGGCGGUUUAAUAAGUCAGUGGUGAAAGCCCAUCGCUCAACGGUGGAACGGCCAUUGAUACUGUUAAACUUGAAUUAUUAGGAAGUAACUAGAAUAUGUAGUGUAGCGGUGAAAUGCUUAGAGAUUACAUGGAAUACCAAUUGCGAAGGCAGGUUACUACUAAUGGAUUGACGCUGAUGGACGAAAGCGUGGGUAGCGAACAGGAUUAGAUACCCUAGUAGUCC
rnacentral:rRNA from 1 species